CUUCUUUUAAAGGUUUAUUACAAAACGAAGACAAUACAUGUCCACUGGGUUUAUUCUAUUGGCAAACACAAUACAAUGACGAACAACCUUCAAUUUUGGGGUGAAGCUUUGCAGGAACCACCACAUGAACAGAAAACAAAGCAACACAACAUGGAUCAAAAUGCAAAACGGUGGACGAAAAAGGGAAGAACAGCAUCUUUAAAUCCCCAAACUGAGAGAACACAAACCAGGAGGAUGAAGAGCAGGAGGGAGGAGGAGGAGGAGGUGGACAAGGAGGAGGGGGGGAAUUUGUUUUCUAUCAUUUUCUUCUGGAGGUUCAUAGUGCGAACACACAUUUAUAAAUAGUUCACAAUUAAAUUAAGUAAAAUCCAAUUCACACAGUAAAAUGUUAUUCACAAACUGAAAGCAUUCGUAAGACGACUGGUCGAGCAGGAAUAAAACAGUCAGGGGUGGAAUUUUGGCUGAAGCUGUUCUAGCUGUGGGGAGAAAAUAGAUCAUAAGUCCUUUACUUCCACAGCUGUCGACUUUUUAUGUGAGGAUAGGUGCUCACAUCGCUUCAACAUUAUUCACUAAUUUAAGUUUUUAGAAACUGGUGAGUGUUUGUGCCUGCAAACUUUUCAAACAGCAAAGUCUCACAGUUUUUCUUUUUUGUACAUGUUGGUCCUCAGAGGGAUGAUGUACGUGUCCAGAUUUUCUGAAAUCUUCUAAAUGUGUCACAUCAUACCAGAAUUUUUUUUUUUAGCUCUCAUAAUUCAGUAAAUAUUAUUUAAAUUAUUAAUCAAUCAUGUCUUUGACUAUUUUAGUGCAAAAGCUAUAACAAUGAUAAUAAUAAUAAUAUUAAUUAUGAUAAUAAUAAUAAUUUAAAAAAAGUUUAUUUUGUGGCCACAUCAGGUUUUGUCCAGUUAUUCAAAAUGAACUGGGUUGCUUUGAAGGCCAAAAACUGUCACGUUGUGUCGGCUUUUUCUUUAAUUUCUGUAUUUUGAGGCUUUUAUUGUGAAAAAUUCAGACAUCUACAGAAAGGAGUUGCUGUGGUGAGUCCUUUCCCAUUUGUGGAUGAUGAAGGUGAGGAUGCUAACAAUUAAGGUGGUGGUGUUGGUAAUGCUAGGAUGACGAGGACAGCUAAGCCUGGCUAGGUGCUCUGUUGUUUUCUUAAUUUAACCAAUCACAUUUAAAUACUAUUUAUAUUUAUAUAUUACAACACUGUUCCAAAUUUAUAAAUAAGAAGUGCAGUUUCUCUUCACCCUCCACAAAAUGACUUGCUCUGUUGGUGCACAACAAAUCCAAAUGCUGCAGAUCAGUCAUCAUCCACACAGCUGGAAAACUACAAAUAUGGCUGACCGGCUGCAGUUUAUAGUCUUCAUGCAAAUGUUAAUGUGAUGGAACACCAGGUCUGACCAUCAGCUGGUCCACUCACAUUUCACACAUUGACCUUUGUCAAAAUAUCAAAUCUAUUACACAGUUAACCAAUCAGAAUGGUGUGUCAGAAAGAACUUCAGCCAAUCAAAAUCACUCAGUUAAAAAGAAAAAAACAAAACACAAAGGAAAUGAGGGAGUCACACUCAUCAAGACCAGCAGGAGUCUGUAGUCCAUGGUCUGAAUUGGAUCAGUCCUGGACCUGAUCAGAGUUUAGCAGAAGUUUACUAACAGCAAAACCUGACUUCAGUUUUUUUAGGGACAGGAAAAUUUAGAGGAGAUAAAUGUGGUUUUAGGGGCUGGAUUGACUCAGCCAUCAACUGUAGAUGUAUGUUAAACAAUUCUAAUUACUGAUCAAUAAAACAGUAAAUACAUGCAGAUUAUUAAAUGUCUUGCACGGAGGAUUAGAGCCAGAUUAAAGAAAAAAAAUCUGGAUUUCAAAAACAUAAUCAUAUAAGAUUCAAGUCAUCAUAUUACAAAAAUAAAGCUGUAACAUUAUGAAUACAAAACUGCAAGCAAACAGCCGUAGUGAUACAAGAUAAAAGGAGAAUGAUGUUUUUGAAAAUGAAUCUUCAUUUGAAAAACUUUACAGUUUAAACAGGAAACUAGCUGCUCAUCUGGUAACAGCACUGGCAUACAGUCUGAACCAAAUGCAUGACUUUAUUCUUGUAAUAGGACAACUUCAUCAUUAUGUAAAACAACUUAAUCCUCAUAUUAUUACGACUUAGAACCUCUCUAAAUGUUCUUAUUCUUGUUACUCUCUAAAUUUACUCUCACUACUUCAGCACUUUAGAAAUUUCACCUUUGUGAUGAUGGAGAGAAUUAUCAUUAUUCAUCAUGUACAGAAGACAUUUAAAGCAAAAGCCUUGACUUGGUGACAGAAAUGAGUGAACAUUAUGACCAAAACUUUAAAAAACUGAGGAGUAGGUUUAGGUUUUUAUUGAGGAACUGUCUGAAACAGUACCUGAUGCUUUUCUAACAAUGGUUCCACACUUAUUAACGGCACAAUAAUUUGGAGUUUUGUUGUUAGUAAACAUUUGGGGAUUCAAAGUGACCAUCUGCAGUCUGAUCGGAGUAUCAAAUCUGUUCUGAACUGAAUCUACAGGUUGUGCUGUUCUACUUCUGUGGAGACUCAAUGUCCCAUAAUGCUUUGCAUGCUGACUUCUGACUAAAGGCAACCAGAUAAACACGUCCAACAGCUGAUGGCAGGUGGCUAAGAGGUUGGACCCUGGUGCCCAGCAGCUCCCAGCUCUCCCCCUCGGUGGCUCGUAGGAAAUGGAGUGUAGCGAGAGCAGAGUGAAAGCAAACAGGUCUGUGUGCAACUUAAAUGAUCUGUGGAUAAGGGGCAAGGCAGGGGGGUAACACCUUAAACUUAAUCCCAUCCUUUAGAGCAAGAACCUAAUGGUCAGUGAUGACCAUAUAUGGAUGUCCUGCUGAUAUCUACACCAGAUAAGAAUCAACCUGUUCCAGUAACAGAAC